rnacentral:lncRNA from 1 species
CCGAGGGGAGAGAGGGUGCGCAGACGGCCAGCCGGGCCGCGCCAGGGACAUACUGGAGACAGGAAGUGGCUGAGAGGGGGAGAGAGUUGGAGAGAGACGGCCGCGGAGGACACGGGGACGGGAAAGUCUGAGAGACGGGGAGAGCCUGACCCGGCGGGACACAGGCAGAAAGAAACACGCGAGCCAGACAGACGCAGAAGAAACGUGCCUGGUACUGGAUAGGAACUUCAUGGAAUGGAGCUAAUGGGCCGUAGGGCAGGUUUGAGUCGUGCCACCCUGGAGCAGAAGGUGGAGGGUAGGGAUAAGGGGGUGGAGCACCUGAUUCCAAUCUUGCCACAGGGAAGAAGAGUCUGUGAAGAAGGUGGAGAGAAACUAGGAGAAAAGCACAGGAUGUAGAGGUCUAUUCGGCAUAAUCUUCUCCCUCAUUUUCAUCUUCACCAUCAACAGAGAGAGCAGCAUACUUGCUUGCAGAACUGAACUUCUGUAACACAACGAGAGUGACAGGAUAAUGAAGGCCCUGAAUUAUCACAUCAAAACCCAAGACACAGGAUACUGAUCCUUUGGCAAUGGGGGAUGACAGUCAGAUGACACCCACUUGCUUGCUCAUCAGCAUUGUCCAUUGGAGAGGAGCUAGGGAAGAGGGUCAGAGGCACAUGCGAUCUUACUAUAGUCUCAUACCACCUCUACACCUUGCAGAAGGGAUGAGAACAAAGGAAGACAGAAACCAGGAAAAAGCUAAACUUCUUUCGCUAUUUCAGUAAAGACCAAUGUCUUAUUUCCAAACACUUUGUAUUCCAAAUGGAAAGAAGUCCAACGGCAAAAAGUUUAGAAUACUAAGAAUUUUUAAUUCUUAGUAAGAAUACUUAGAAUUCUAAGAAUUUUUCUUAGAAUGAAAAAUUGGGAGCAGCCUUCAACACUUACGGAAGCUGGAUUUUCCUCAGGUUUCUUUGGCUCAGGUGCAGAUCUGGAGUCUUGAUCCUUUUUGCCAUCUUUCCUGCAGAGACGUAAGCAUAAAACCAUGUCUUUAGGAAAGGACUCGCCUAAUACAAACAUGUGUAUGCAUGCAGUUUCAAGGCACUGAACAGGCACCUCUAGUCAACAGUCCUUGUUGUCUGGAUGAUGUAUUACUUCUAGAUUUUCAGAAUCUUAACUGUCUACGUUGGCUGACUUUAGUUUGCUCACAAUGAGCGAUCUGGCAGUGCUCUGAGAACCAAGAACUUAAUUUCUUAAUUACACAAACAUGUGGAUCAGAGGAAAGAUGAGAAAGAGAACAAGCAUACCUAUCUGACUCCUUCCAGUGGUCUCUGUUCCCUCCGUCGCCUGGACCACGGCUAGAGUUCCCAGUUUGGCCUUUUGGGGCAUUCAUCCCAUCUACUUUAUUUUCAUCUGCUUGGGCAGUAAUGUAAACAAAUUAAAGGCAAGUAAAAGUAUCAAUGUCCCUCUCCUAAGAUUUCCCUUAAGCUGAAGAAAAUUGUGCCCACAUGUACUGAGGGAAACUAACCUCACCCCAACCCAGACUUCCUUCCUGAAGCCCUUCUUUCCACAUCCUCUACAGCACACAAAAAUACAAAAAACAAACAAAAUCCACUAAAAAGUUCCAUGUAGGGAUAUGCCAUCAUGAAAAGCAAGCUGGAAAUAAAGAUUAUGACGCUCUGUAGUG